UACGUAGGGUGCGAGCGUUAAUCGGAAUUACUGGGCGUAAAGCGUGCGCAGGCGGUGAUGUAAGACAGAUGUGAAAUCCCCGGGCUCAACCUGGGAACUGCAUUUGUGACUGCAUCGCUGGAGUGCGGCAGAGGGGGAUGGAAUUCCGCGUGUAGCAGUGAAAUGCGUAGAUAUCAGGAGGAACACCGGUGGCGAAGGCGGCUCUCUGGACCACAACUGACGCUGAGGCGCGAAAGCUAGGGGAGCAAACAGG
rnacentral:rRNA from 1 species